GGCUACAUAGCUCAGUCGGUUAGAGCGCAGCAUUCAUAAUGCUGAUGUCCCAGGUUCAUUUCCCGGUGUAGCCACCA
rnacentral:tRNA from 2 species